UGCCAGGGUGAACCCGGGSCGCCACCGACCUCGGCGGUUCGGGUGGGCCGAGCCAGAGAGAACCCGUACACAGGCCYCCAGAGUUGGAUCAGACUGUGUCCUGACGUAAAGAGGGUUGGGACUAGCCUGCGCGACGGCCCGGGUUCGAUCCCCAGUACGGGGGCGACACCCAAAAAGCGCGCAAGCAAAGCCGUCACUGGAAGAAAUAUGUAAAUACACGGAGAGACUCAAGUUSGUUCAGUAGAUGAUAUAUACUCUUCUCUUCCUCCCACAGGGUCUCGCCAAACUGAGGGUUUCUCUAAAUUGCUGAGGCUGACCUUGUACUUGCCAUCUUCUUUCCCUGUCGCUGGGAUUACACGUGUGAGCCACCAAGCCAGUCUUAGGGAUUGAACGCAGGAGCACUCUACUACUCAGCUCCAUCCCCAGACUGGCCUCAAACUGCCUCAGCCUCCAAUCUGGGAGCCGAUCUGGGAGGCCACCUGCUCUCUUGUGUCCAGGAGUGGUGGGGUGGGUGCCCAGUAUGGGCUCUCCAGAGCUCAAGUCCCAGAGUAAUAGAGAUAUGUGUGUCCACAUUUGAAUACUGGUAACAGUGAAAAAUAAAUCCAGGCUGGGCUCAUUGGYGCAAGCCUGUAAUCCCAGCAGCU